rnacentral:misc_RNA from 1 species
AUCGUGCUGAUAACACGAAGGUCCGCGGUUCGAGCCCGCGCAGCACCACAGCUUUUUUGGAACGCGGAGCAGUGUCUGGCGUAACUGUAAGCUGCACAGAGAGUGUCCUCGCACUUUUUGUGGCACCGGUCAAGUUAAGAGAGAUAGAUAGUGAAUAGUACUGGGUAGAAACGAGCAUUCAACGAUCAGUUCGCGUCUUGAAGCCGAGUAGGCACUGUCUCCGGUGUGCGAACCCAGAAAAUGCAUACGUUGCGCGCCUCCUAGACAGCUGUUGCCCGUUCUUGACUGGAAAAGUCGACGCGAGCGACGGUGCAACUUGAGACACUAGACUUCGCUGGCAGCGCUGUUUCCGGGUACAUGCCUUCAGUACAUAGCGCAGGCUUAGGUCUGAGAUGAAAAUAUCUGUGAAGAACUCUGGGGUUUCGGAGCUACGUUGUUGUUUUGUUGAGCUACAGAAAGGAUUUUGCUCUAUCCCGUAGUCCGUGUAACUUCCAGUUCACUGCUUCGCGCAACAGAUGAGGAGAUUCAUGAAUACUCGUCGGGCAGCGAGAAAAAAUCUCACCAUACCCGUGUAAGAUUAAAACUGAACACUGAACUGCUCGCUGUGUCUCGGCUUUUCGAUUUCUCCAAAUUUUUCUUACAUGCACAGACUCGAUAUGCGCAUUGUAGCAAUAAGGGAUUACGAAUUCUGAUGAACUUUUAGGGAUCUGGACCGCGUUUUCAGAGUGGCUUCUUCGACUUGUUGGCGCAGAUAUCUGUUACGUUACCGGGAUGAGGCUGAUACGCGACGCACUCAAGAAAGCUUUCGAAAAGUAACCAAAGUCAUUUUAACGUUCAUGUAUGCAUGCCUCCAUUCAGCCCGGUGCCGUGCGUAUAAUAUGCUCAAAUCACGCCUUCUUCAGGUUUUGGAUCUUUCUGUUUCUAGGGUUAUUGUGGGUGGAGCUGAUCGUGCUGAACGCUUGAGGAGGAAAAAUACUCGACGUCGUCCCUUGAUGAAUUGUCUACAAAAUCAUGCCGAAAGUUCCCUGAGCUUGCCAGGUCAAAAAAUCGAUUACGCCCGAAAGAAAAAAAUCUCAUUUCUUUGUGGCUAUCGACGAAACGGCAUUCGGGGCCAGCAUGACGCCUCACACGUGACAAGCUCCAGCAGGUGCCCGUCUCUUCAAGUUGCCUGAAAAUGGUCUUGUACUCGGAACUCAUUCAUCGCAGCUAAUCCCUCUUGCAGUGAGUGCAUCACAGCUUCGCACGGAGGGAGCACAGAUGAAUCAAAAAUUUUGCAGCUUGGGUUGUACUUUCGGUGCUUGUUUCAUCACAGAAAGUAUCGCAUCCCACAAAUCCUUUAUAGAGUAGGACAGUGUGCACCUGCGCUUGCAGCUGACAGUGUCCUCUUCGUGGAGAUUGCCUACAGGAAGUCAGCAUUCGUAGGGGAAUGUCACCGGGCGCGGAAACAGAGGAAUGCACCGGGGCGAGCCCUCUUUAACUGAAAAGGGCAUGUACCAUGCGAUGAAACAAAUGUUCACGCGCUACAAGUUGGCACUCGAAGGAUGUGGUUGGGUGGAAAGGCAUGAACACCUGACUACAGUCGAGUGUCGCCGCUGCGACUGACAUGCAGAGCUGGUGGAAGAAGAUGAUGAAAAUGGCAAGCGAUAAGUAGAUUGCAACUUGCGUCUGUGCAGGAAAGUCGUCAAAAACAGCAGGGAGCAGCGAGAUCGGGACAUGAACUCUGUCAUUUGCGUCCUUCGACUUCUGACAAAAGGGCUGGUGGCCAAUGAGCAUCCGGCGAAUUCAAUACCGGAAAGAGGGGAGAAAUUAGGGACACAGUCAAAGAAAAAGCCAAAACCCGCUAAUGUUGAUGGCAAUGUGAAGAGACACAGUCUUUAGAACACCUGUGUGAGUUACGCAAGUAGACUCUUUCCUUUUUAUCCUAUUAUGGUUGCAAAGAGAUAUCGCGGUAGGCCGCGCUGUAUCCAUUCUUCAAGUUGCCUGCGUCAAAUUUGCAGAGUUCGUGCAGGUCUCAAGGAAACGCUCGCUCAAAUCUGCAAAUUUCACUUCCGUAUGCUCCAGCGAACACUGGAAUGCAUAUUUUCGCUUUGGUGCCCGGCAUUGCACUGCAAGUCACGUGGCACCAGUAGAGGCCGUCAGCGCAGCCUUCUAAAAGCAAAAGGCGACAAGUCUCGUGCAUAUUUAUUCAGAUUGCCCGAGGUGCCACCUAAAUUUUGCC